rnacentral:pre_miRNA from 1 species
CUUCAAGGAAGGAUUUGAACUGUCAAGCUGCUGGCUAUGUUCCAGGACUUAGCUAUCAUGGAUGUAACCAAAGUCAGACUGUAUGGCGCUAAAG